GACGAACGCUGGCGGCGUGCUUAACACAUGCAAGUCGAACGGAAAGGCCCUGCUUUUGUGGGGUGCUCGAGUGGCGAACGGGUGAGUAACACGUGAGUAACCUGCCCUUGACUUUGGGAUAACUUCAGGAAACUGGGGCUAAUACCGGAUAGGAGCUCCUGCUGCAUGGUGGGGGUUGGAAAGUUUCGGCGGUUGGGGAUGGACUCGCGGCUUAUCAGCUUGUUGGUGGGGUAGUGGCUUACCAAGGCUUUGACGGGUAGCCGGCCUGAGAGGGUGACCGGCCACAUUGGGACUGAGAUACGGCCCAGACGCCUACGGGAGGCAGCAGGGGGGAAUAUUGCACAAUGGGCGGAAGCCGGAUGCAGCAACGCCGCGUGCGGGAUGACGGCCUUCGGGUUGUAAACCGCUUUCGCCUGUGACGAAGCGUGAGUGACGGUAAUGGGUAAAGAAGCACCGGCUAACUACGUG
rnacentral:rRNA from 1 species